AGCGCGCCCCGGCCUGAACGGAGCUCUUUUUGUAAGCCUUGGAAAAGCCUUGGCACAAAAAAGCGGGAGUGGAGGACGGAUAAAGGC
rnacentral:misc_RNA from 1 species